UUUCUUUUUCUUUUUCCCUCUUUUUUCUUUCUUUUCUUUCUUUCUUUUUUUCCCCUCUCCUAAUUUCUUUCUUUCUUUCCUUCUUUCUUUCUUUCUUUUUUCUUGGUCUCAGCCGUGCGGAAUGGAGGGAAGUCGUGACAGCAGGCUGCUCAGGCGGCGGGCUGGCAUUCCAGGCGGGCUGUGGCUGAGCCAGCGUGCGCCUCAGUCCUCCGCAGCUCGGGCGGCGGGAAGGUGGAGCCAGUCGCUUCUCCCCGAAUAACUGGGAGAUGAAACAGGAAGCUCUAUGACACAGUUGAUCGAAAAUGACACAGACACAGAAAAAUCAGGACUCGGCCCCCUCCAGUGCCUCUACCUGCUGCCCACAGCCGGAGUGCAGAUUGCAAAGUAAGAAGCAGAAGGGGAUAGGACUUGGCUGCCAGCAGCUUGCCCAUCCUUUAUGGAUUGGAUCUGUAAAGAAGACUCUCAGAAGCUGUGGUUAUUUCAAGCUAUGAUGACUCGUUUUGAGUUCAUUUUUCUACAUGGCAUGAGGUGAUGCCGAGCGGCUCUUCGGGUGCCUGAGGGCCAUUCCUACAGGAGCCCCACGCCUACAGCUGGCCAGUUCCCAUCCUUCGCCCAUUUGUCGAUGUGCGGCCUUUUCAUGAUGGAUAGGAAUCUGUGUCACUGGUCCAGGCAGUCCACCAAACUGGGUCCUGGAAGGAUGUUGGUGCCGGAGAAGGGGGAGCAGAUCCUGCAUGGAGGUCACAGCGGGUGUGCCCCACGCCGUGUUCUUUCCCUGACCUUCUACAGCUUCGUUCUUCUUUCCUGGAAGUAUAAGAUACAGCUGUUGUCCCGCUGAACUUGCCACCCUGGUCAAGCGACUUCACUUCAAGCCUGAGAUGAAGAUGUUGUGAGGCUUAACUAAAAUAACAGACCUCAAGUGUCUGUCACCUUGUGCCCAGCAACUCACUGCUCAUUGGCUCAACUAGGUUAAAAGGUUCUGAUCACAGUGCCCCAGGACAGAAAGAGCUCGCCUCCCUCUGCAGCUCCAGGUAUGACCCAACAGCAGAGGAAAACAACAACAAGAAGAAGGAGAAGAAAGAGAAAGAGGAAAAAAGGGAGGGGAAAGGAGAAGGAGAAACAUGAAGAGAAGGAAGAGGAAGGAGAAAAUUGGCAGGUGAAAGACAGGCAGGAAGAGCAAGUAAGAGGCCAAAUUACACCAUCAUAAGACCUCGUGAUGGCCCAAGGACAGCCUAUUAUAAGCUGCAGCCACCGGGGAAAAAAGAAACCGAGGACUCUGCCCCCCUAGCUGAAGGAGGUACAAAUGGAGACCAGACCCUUUGAACAUUAAAUCCUCUCCCCUUGCCCAGCCUCUGUGACAAUUCUCAUUGAAAAUAACCGAGAAAUAAGUUUUGAUGGCAUGUGUUGCUAUGCAAAUGCACCCACAUUUGCAUUUUUCGUUCUGAAUAAUAUUUUACAAGUGAACCUCUCUUAGGCCAUUACCCUAUUUCUAUUCUCUCAUUUACUAAUUUUAUUCAGGAGGUAAAUUGUGCCCAACUAAGAGACUACAUUUUUCAGGCCCUUUGCUGGUCACUGCAGCCAUGUGACUAAUUUCUAACCAAUGAGAUAUAAGCAGAAGUAUGGGAUUUAUGAGAAAGUAAGUUAAAAGGAACUAGCUCAGGGUGCCUGGGUGGCUCAGUUGAGUGACUGCCUUCAGCUCAACUGAGCGA